rnacentral:rRNA from 1 species
AUUGAACGCUGGCGGCAGGCCUAACACAUGCAAGUCGAACGAGUGGCGGACGGGUGAGUAAUGUCUGGGAAACUGCCCGAUGGAGGGGGAUAACUACUGGAAACGGUAGCUAAUACCGCAUACCAUCAGAUGUGCCCAGAUGGGAUUAGCUAGUUGGUGGGGUAACGGCUCACCAAGGCAACGAUCCGUAGCUGGUCUGAGAGGACGACCAGCCACACUGGAACUGAGACACGGUCCAGACUCCUACGGGAGGCAGCAGUGGGGAAUAUUGCACAAUGGGCGCAAGCCUGAUGCAGCCAUCCCGCGUGUAUGAAGAAGGCCUUCGGGUUGUAAAGUACUUUCAGCGGGGAGGCGUUACCCGCAGAAGAAGCACCGGCUAACUCCGUGCCAGCAGCCGCGGUAAUAC